GCAAUUGUCACCACAACUCCAGCUGGUACUACAAGAGCAGCAGCUUCAACCACAACUGCAGCUGCCACUACGACAACAGCCGCUACCACCACAACUGUAGACACUGCUAAGACAACCCCUGCCACCUCGACAGCAGCCACUGCCACCACUACUGCAGCCCCUGCCACCGUAACUGUAGACACCACUAUGACAGCCCCUGCCACCACAACUGGAGACACCACAAAGACAACCCAUGCCACCACAACUUUAUCCGCUACCACAACAGCAGCCACUGCAACCACAAGUGCAGCUGCCACCACAACUGCAGCUGAUACUAAGACGACAGCCGCUGCCAGCACAACUGCAGCUGCCACUACGACGACAGCCGCUGCCACCACUACUGCAGCCCCUGCCACCACAACUGGAAACACCACUAAGACAAAUCAUGCCACCAUAACUUUAGCCUUUACCAACACAGCAGCCACUGCAACCACAAGUGCAGCUGCUACCACAACAGCAGCUGCAAUAACGACAGACCCUGCCAGCACAAAUGCAGACACCACUACGACUCCUACCACAACUGCAGCUUCCACUACGACAGCCUCUGUCACCAUAGCAACAGCAGUCGCCAGCACAACUGUAGAUGCCACUACAACUACAGCAGCCACCACAACAGGAGCCGCUGCCACCACAACUCCAGCUGGUACCACAAGAGCAGAAUCUGCAACCACAACUGCAUUUUCCACCACUACGACUGCUACCACGACUGCAGCUGCCACCACCACGACUGCAGCUGCCACCACCACGACUGCAGCUGCCACCACCACGACUGCAGCUGCCACCACCACGACUGCAACUGCCACCACAACUGCAGCUGCCACCAUGACAACAGCCGCUGCCACCACUACUGUAGCCCCUGCCACUGUAACUGCAGACGCCACUAUGACAGGCCCUGCCACCACAACUGGAGACACCACUAAGACAACUCAUGCCACCACAACUUUAGCCUUUACCAACACAGUAGCCACUGAAACCACAAGUGCAGCUGCUACCAUCACAGCAGCUGCAAUAACGACAGACCCUGCCAGCACAAAUGCAGACACCACUACGACUCCUACCACAACUGCAGCUUCCACUACGACAACCUCUGCCACCAUAGCAACAGCAGUUGCCAGCACAAUUGUAGAUGCCACUACAACUACAGCAGCCACCACAACAGGAGCCGCUGCCACCACAACUCCAGCUGGUACCACAAGAGCAGAAUCUGCAACCACAACUGCAUUUGCCACCACUACGACUGCUACCACAACUGCAGCCGCCACCACGACUGCAGCGGCCGCCACCACGACUGCAGCGGCCGCCACCACGACUGCAGCUGCCGCCACCACGACUGCAGCUGCCGCCACCACGACUGCAGCUGCCGCCACCACGACUGCAGCUGCCACCACCACGACUGCAACUGCCACCACAACUGCAGCUGCCACCAUGACAACAGCUGCUGCCACCACUACUGCAGCCCCUGCCACUGUAACUGCAGACGUCCCUACGACAGGCCCUGCCACUUCAACUGCAGCCACAUAUAUGACAGCCCCUGCCAUCAUAGCAACAGUAGCCGCCACCACAACUACUGCUGCCACUACCACAGUCACGGCCAACACAACAACAGCUGCCACUACGACAACACCCCCUGCCACCACAACUUUAGCCGCUACCAGAACAGCAGCCACUGCAACCACAAGUGCAACUGCCACCACAACUGCAGCUGCCACUACGACAACAGCCACUGCCACCAUUACUGUUGCCCCUGCCACCGUAACUGUAGACGCCACUACGACAGCCUCUACCACUACAACUGGAGACACCACUAAGACAACCCAUGCCACCACAAUGUUAGCCACUACCACAACAGCAGCCACUGCCACCACAAAUGCAGACCCCACUACGACAGCCUCUGCCACCAUAGCAACAGCAGUCGCCAGCACAACUGUAGCUGCCACUACAACUACAGCAGCCACUACAACUACAGCAGCCACUACAACAGCAGCCACUGCCACCACAACUCCAGCUGGUACCACAAGAGCAGCAUCUGCAACCACAACUGCAUUUGCCACCACUACGACUGCUACCACAAGUGCAGCCACCACUACGACUGCUACCACAACAGCUGCUGCCACCACAACUGCAGCUGCCACCACGACCACAGUCGCUGCCACCACUACUGCAGCCCCUGCCACCGUAACUGCAGACGUCCCUACGACAGCCCCUGCCACCACAACUGCAGCCACAUAUACGACAGCCCCUGCCACCACAACUGCACUACAAAUACAACCCCUGCCACCACAACUUUAAAAGCUACCACAACAUCAGCCACUGCAACCACAAGUGCAGCUUACACCACUACUGUUGCCCCUGCCACCGUAACUAAGGGCCCCACUACGACAACCCCUGCCACCACAACUUUAGCCACUACCACAACAGCAGCCACUGCAAUCACAAGUGCAGCUGCUAUCACAACAGCAGCUGCCACUAUGACGACAGCCUCUGCCAGUACAACUGCAUCUGCCACUAUGACAACAGCUUCUACCACCACAAAUGCAGACACCACUAAGGCAACCCCUGCCACCACAACUUUAGCCGCUUCCACAACAUCAGCCACAAGUGCAACUGCCGCCGCAGCUGCCACCACAACUGCAGCUGCCGCUAUGACAACAUCCACUGCCACCACUACUGCAGCCACUGCCACCGUAACUAAGGACACAUGACGACAGCCCUUGCCACCACAAAUGCAGACACCACUAAGACAACCCAGGCUACCACAACUUUAGCCGCUACCACAACAGCAGCCACUGCAAUCACAAGUGCAGCCACCACUAUGGCAACCCCUGACACCACAACUUUAGCCACUUCCAUAACAUCAGCCACAGCUACCACAACUGCUGCUGCCACUACGACAACAGUCACUACCACCAUAAAUGCAGACACCACUACGACAACCCCUGCCACCACAACUGCAUACGCAACUAUGACAUUCCCUGCCACCACAACUGGAACCACCACUUCACAGCCGCUGCCAUCCCAAUUGCAGCUUCCGCUAUGACAGCAGCUGAUGCCACCACAUCUGCUGUCACCAGAACUGCAUUCACUACCACAAAUGUAAACACCACAACUGCCACUACGGCAGCCCCUGCCACCACAACUUCAACCGCUACAACAGCAGCAUCUACCAGCACAACAGCAGUCGCCACUACGACAGCCCCUGCCACUACACCUUCAGCCGCUAAAACAACAGUCGCUAACUAUGACAGCCGCUGCCACCACAACUGCAGCCACCACUAUGACAGGCCAUGUCACCACAAUUGGAUUCACCACUACGAUAGUCGGUGCCAUCCCAACUGCAGCUGCCAGUAUUACAGCAGCCGCUGCAACCACAACUGAGGCAACCACAACUACAGCAGCCACCAUAACUGCAGCUGCCACUAAGACAACAGCUGCUGCAACCACAUCUGCAGUUGCUGCCAACAUAACUACAGCCGCCAAUAUGACAGCCCCUGCCACCACAGCAACAGCAGCCGCCACCGCAACUGUAGCCGCUACUACGACAGCCCAUGCCACCACACUGUAACUGCAGCAGCCGCUGCCACUACAACUCCAGCUGCCACCACAACUGCAACCACCACUACGACAGGCCCUGCCACACAACUUCAGCCGCUACCACGACAAUUGCCACUUCGACAACCCUUGCCACCAUAACUGCAGCUGCCACUAUGAAAGCUACUGCCACCACAGCUGCAGCUGGUAACUGAACUGCAGCUGCCACUAUGACAACAGCUGCUACCGCUAUGACAGCCCUUGCCACCAUAACUGCAGCUGCCACUAAGAUAACAGCCGCUGCAACCACAACUGCAGUUGCUGCCAACAAAACUACAGACACCACUAUGACAGCCCCUGCUACAACAACAGCACCCUCUGCCACCACAACAGCAGUUGCCACUAUGACAGCCACAGCCACCAUAACUUCAGCCGCUACAUCAACAGCAACCUCUGCCACCACAACAGCAGUCGCUAACUAUGACAGCCGCUGCCACCCCAAUUGGAGCCGCCACUACGACAGUCGGUGCCAUCCCAACUGCAGCCGCCACCACAACUGCAGCCGCCACUAAGACAACAGUUGCUGCAACCACCACUGCAGUUGCUGCCAGCAAAACUACGGCCACCACUAUGACAGCCCCUGCCACCACAGCAACAGCAGCCGCCACCACAACUGUAACCGUCACUACGACAGCCCAUGCCACCACACUGUAACUGCAGCAGCCACUACAACAGCAGCCGCUGCCACCACAACUGCUGCCGCCACUACUGCUGCCACUACCAUAACUGUAGUGCCGCUACUGCAGCCGUUACUACCACUGCCGUUGCCACUUGAACUUUUUUUAAGUCCAUAUUGAUACAGAAACACAGAACAAGUUGAUUGACAAAGUCAUGAAGAAUUUGAAGAAUUUAAUAAACCACCUUUGGGCUAUGAUUAAGAAAUAUGCCUCUCGAGUCACAAUGACCCCAGUCCAUAGCUUGAGGGGUAACAUGAAUACAUUUUUCCUUUCCCUUGCAGGCAUUUCAAGACAUCAAUGCCUGCAGCAUUCAUCACAAGUGAAUGCAUCACUGAUGACUACUGGUGUGCAUCAUGUAAUUUUAACAACCAAUGCAUAUUUCACUACAAUAUACCAUUUUUUCAUAGUGUAACUUGACACCAUCGAUAAAGGCUGCUAACCUAAGGCUUUUAUACUCUUCACCAGCUAUGUAAGUUAAUGCUCUUGUCAGGUGUUUUGUUAUACUUUUAUGUUGGAAUGCGUGUAUAUGACAGGAUUCAAGACGUAGAUUCUAUAUUUAACAACAUGGCAUAGUAUUGUAUAUCAUUAUAAUUGCUACCAGGAAUAUCCCUUUAGGAAUAUUAUCGAUCCAUUUUUUUUAUAAAAUAUAUAAAUGAGUGAUACAAAUACUGACCAAAAACAAUUAUGAUGUGUUUUUGGCAAAAGUUGUGAAGAUUUUUGCUAAUAUUUUACAAAGAUGUAUUUUACAAACCUGGCUAAGUUGGUUGUGUUACCUGCAUAACUAUAAUCAUAUUUCAGUUAUCAUUGGGCAUAUUCCACCAUUAUUGGAAGAGUUGUAGCAAUGUCAUACCAAUCCAAUUAAAACCAAUGGAGCUGGUUGGCGGC
rnacentral:lncRNA from 1 species